rnacentral:rRNA from 1 species
GACGAACGCUGGCGGCGUGCUUAACACAUGCAAGUCAAGGGGGCCCGCAAGGGCAACCGGCGAACGGGUGCGUAACACGUGAGCAAUCUGCCUAGAUGUGGGGGAUAGCCGGCCCAACGGCCGGGUAAUACCGCAUACGCUCACCGGGUGGCAUCACCUGGUGAGGAAACAUUUUUGGCAUCUAGAGGAGCUCGCGGCCUAUCAGCUAGUUGGUGGGGUAACGGCCUACCAAGGCAUUGACGGGUAGCUGGUCUGAGAGGAUGGCCAGCCACAUUGGGACUGAGAUACGGCCCAGACUCCUACGGGAGGCAGCAGUGGGGAAUAUUGCGCAAUGGCCGAAAGGCUGACGCAGCGACGCCGCGUGGGGGAUGAAGCAUUUCGGUGUGUAAACCCCUGUUGCUCGGGACGAACAACUGGAUUUUUCCAGUCUGACGGUACCGGGUGAGGAAGCACCGGCUAACUCCGUGCCAGCAGCCGCGGUAAUGUACAGUGU